rnacentral:rRNA from 1 species
UACGGGGGGAGCAAGCGUUGUUCGGAUUUACUGGGCGUAAAGGGCGCGUAGGCGGCCUCCGCAAGUCAGUUGUGAAAUCUCCGAGCUUAACUCGGAAAGGUCAACUGAUACUGCGGGGCUAGAGUGCGGAAGGGGCAACUGGAAUUCUCGGUGUAGCGGUGAAAUGCGUAGAUAUCGAGAGGAACACCUGCGGCGAAGGCGGGUUGCUGGGCCGACACUGACGCUGAUGCGCGAAAGCCAGGGGAGCGAACGGG